GAACUUUUGUAAAGUAUAACAAGAACAGCUAAUUCUUUCCACAUGUUUGGGCAUGACAUUAGCUAAAAUAUCCAGUACAGUGUUGAAAUACAGUGGUGAGAAGAGGCAUCCUUGUCUUGUUUCUGCUAUUGAUAUUAGGAGGCUUGUCUGAAAUGCUAACAUCCAGGAGAGGAUUUUCUUCCGUUCUCUUUCCCAUCAGAUCUCCAUGAGAAUCUGAUUGUAAAUAAAACUAAAUACAUCAGAAAUUGAUAUUUCACUGCACUUUGAAAAUAUAAAGAACUCAUUUGAAGAAAUACCAUUGAAAAUAAAGGUGGACAGAAUUCUUAAUGUGCAUGAGAGUGAUCAGAGGUCAAAACAGGCAGUUGCUUACACAGAAAAACAUGGCAGAAAUCAAUCUUUAGAAAAUCAACAGGAAGACUUACAGCCCGUGGUCUCUCUGGUCAAGCAGCAGAUUCAUUGGAA